GGCUGGUCCGAUGGCAGUGGGUUAUCAGAACUUAUUAACAUUAGUGUCACUAAAGUUGGUAUACCACCCCCCCACUGCUAAAUUUGACUGGCUUAAA
ensembl:misc_RNA Y_RNA Y RNA